rnacentral:rRNA from 1 species
UACGUAGGGGGCAAGCGUUGUCCGGAUUCAUUGGGCGUAAAGAGCGUGUAGGCGGCCAGGCAGGUCCGCUGUGAAAACUCGAGGCUCAACCUCGAGAUGUCGGUGGAAACCGUCUGGCUAGAGUCCGGAAGAGGAGAGUGGAAUUCCCGGUGUAGCGGUGAAAUGCGCAGAUAUCGGGAAGAACACCCGUGGCGAAGGCGGCUCUCUGGGACGGUACUGACGCUGAGA